UACGUAGGGUGCAGGCGUUAAUCGGAAUUACUGGGCGUAAAGCGUGCGCAGGCGGUCUGCUAAGAGAGGUGUGAAAUCCCCGGGCUUAACCUGGGAACUGCGCUUCUAACUGGCAGGCUUGAGUGUGGCAGAGGGGGGUGGAAUUCCACGUGUAGCAGUGAAAUGCGUAGAGAUGUGGAGGAACACCGAUGGCGAAGGCAGCCCCCUGGGCUAACCACGUGACGCCUCGAUGCACGAAAGCGUGGGGAGCGAA
rnacentral:rRNA from 1 species